rnacentral:rRNA from 1 species
CCACGAGACACGUGAAACCUUGUGGGAAGCAGGGAGGACCACCUCCCAAGGCUAAAUACUACCUGAUGACCGAUAGUGAAGCAGUACCGUGAGGGAAAGGUGAAAAGAACCCCGGGAGGGGAGUGAAAUAGAACCUGAAACCAUGUGCCUACAACCGAUCAAAGCACCUUAUGUGUGUGAUGAUGUGCUUUUUGUAGAACGAGCCAACGAGUUACGGUAUGUAGCAAGGUUAAGUACUUAAGGUACGGAGCCGAAGGGAAACCGAGUCUUAAUAGGGCGACUAGUUGCAUGCUGUAGACCCGAAACCGGGUGACCUAUCCAUGGCCAGGUUGAAGCGAGGGUAAAACCUCGUGGAGGACCGAACCACGUUGCUGUUGAAAAAGCAUGGGAUGAGCUGUGGAUAGCGGAGAAAUUCCAAUCGAACUCGGAUAUAGCUGGUUCUCCUCGAAAUAGCUUUAGGGCUAGCGUCGGAAAAUGUGAGUACUGGGGGUAGAGCACUGAAUGGGCUAGGGGGCAUAGCGCUUACCGAACCUUAUCAAACUCCGAAUACCAGAUACUAUCAGUCCGGCAGUCAGACUGCGAAAGAUAAGUUCCGUAGUCAAAAGGGAAACAGCCCAGAUCGUCAGCUAAGGUCCCAAAGUGUAAGUUAAGUGGAAAAGGAUGUGGGAUUUCUAAGACAACUAGG